UGAUGAUGGUGAGGGAAAUUUCUGAGCAUAAUUUUAAAUCUCUCUCAAGAUUUGUAGAGAUUCUCUCUUUCUUUCUGUAUAAAACUCAAAAUCUAGCUUCUCAAAUA
rfam:Capsicum annuum cultivar Zunla-1 chromosome 12, whole genome shotgun sequence